rnacentral:piRNA from 1 species
UUCUUGCCACACGAAUCCUGAUAUUUGUAGG